rnacentral:rRNA from 1 species
UACGUAGGUGGCAAGCGUUGUCCGGAUUUACUGGGCGUAAAGAGCGCGCAGGCGGUCGUUUCAAAGUCGCGUGUGAAAGCCCCCGGCUCAACUGGGGAGGGUCACGCGAUACUGAUCGACUCGAAGGCAGGAGAGGGUAGUGGAAUUCCCGGUGUAGUGGUGAAAUGCGUAGAUAUCGGGGAGGACACCUGUGGCGAAGGCGGCUUUCUGGGCCUUACCUGGACGCGUG